UGAGGAAUAUUGGUCAAUGGGCGAGAGCCUGAACCAGCCACGUCGCGUGAAGGAAGACUGACCUUACGGUUUGUAAACUUCUUUUGUAGAGGGGUAAUGGCAGAUACGUGUAUUUGCGUGAAAGUACUCUACGAAUAAGCAUCGGCUAACUCCGUGCCAGCAGCCGCGGUAAUACGGGGGAUGCGAGCGUUAUCCGGAAUUAUUGUGUUUAAAGGGUGCGCAGGUUGCUAAUCAGGUCAGUGGUGAAAAGCUAUGGCUCAACCAUGGUCUUGCCAUUGAAACAGUAUAGCUAGAGAGGAGACGAGGUAGGCGGAAUGUGUGGUGUAGCGGUGAAAUGCAAUGAUAUCACACAGAACUCCGAUUGCGAAGGCAGCUUACCAGGCUUUAUCUGACACUUAGGCACGACAGCGUGGGGAUCAAACAGG
rnacentral:rRNA from 1 species